GAUGAACGCUGGCGGCGUGCCUAAUACAUGCAAGUCGAGCGAACAGAUGAGGAGCUUGCUCCUCUGACGUUAGCGGCGGACGGGUGAGUAACACGUGGAUAACCUACCUAUAAGACUGGUAUAACUUCGGGAAACCGGAGCUAAUACCGGAUAAUAUAUUGAACCGCAGGGUGCAAUAGUGAAAGACGGCUUUGCGGUCUCUUAUAGCUGGAUCUGGGCCGCAUUAGCUAGUUGGUAAGGUAAUGGCCUACCAAGGCAAGGAUGCGUAGCCGACCUGAGAGGGUGAUCGGCCACACUGGAACUGAGACACGGUCCAGACUCCUACGGGAGGCAGCAGUAGGGAAUCUGACGCAAUGGGCGGAAGCAUGACGGAGCAACGCGGCGUGAGUGAUGAAGGUGUUCGGUGCGUAAAACUCUGUUAUUAGGGAAAAACAAAUGUGUAAGUAACUAUGCACGUCGUGACGGUACCGAGUCAGAAAGCCACGGCUAACUACGUG
rnacentral:rRNA from 1 species